GCCGUGCCUCCAUGCCUCGCUGCCCUGCCCCCGCAGCCGGGCGCCCUCCCCUGCACCCCGUCCCCCUCAGGUGCCUUUUAGGAGCUGCCCUUCCCCGCGCCGACCUGUGCCUUCUGACAACUCUGCUCUUCCACAAGAGAAGAGCACAGAGGAGGAGGAGGGAAUGGCUGAUGUAUUUCUGACAAGCUGGCUCCACCAGGUUGGAACCCCAGAGACCUGGAUGCUGCACUCGAUGGGUAUGUACCUGAUUGCCUAGAAUCCCUCUCCUUUUUCCCACAGCUUUCAUUUGCCCAAUCAGUACUAUUU
rnacentral:lncRNA from 1 species